rnacentral:rRNA from 1 species
UACAGAGGGUGCAAGCGUUAAUCGGAAUUACUGGGCGUAAAGCGUGCGCAGGCGGUCCGCAAAGUCUGAUGUGAAAGCCCCGGGCUCAACCUGGGAACUGCAUUGGAAACUAACGGGCUCGAGUGUGGCAGAGGGGGGUGGAAUUCCACGUGUAGCAGUGAAAUGCGUAGAGAUGUGGAGGAACACCGAUGGCGAAGGCAGCCCCCUGGGCUAACACUGACGCUCAGGCACGAAAGCGUGGGGAGCAAACAGG